UACAGAGGUCCCAAGCGUUACUGAGAAUCACUGGGUUUAAAGCGUGUGUAGGCGGGCCGUUAAGUGUCUUGUGAAAUCCCCCGGCUCAACCGGGGAAUUGCUGGGCAUACUGGCGGUCUUGAGCGAUCUAGGGGCAGAUGGAACAAGUGGUGGAGCGGUGAAAUGCGUAGAUAUCACUUGGAACGCCAAAGGUGAAGACAGUCUGCUGGGGAUCUGCUGACGCUGAGACACGAAAGCCAGGGGAGCGAACGGG
rnacentral:rRNA from 1 species